UAACUCAAAAUGACCUAAAUGACUUAGGGACUAACUGGCAAAUACACAAAAAUAAAAACUUAGACCUAAUACCUAUAAAUACCCCAUAUACUCUUCAGCCGCAGGGGAGGGGAACAUUUGAAAGGUUCAUAUUUUACACCUUAGGUAUUGUUCAUCAUCGUCUUGAACACCAAAACAAGACCAAAAACCCUAGAACCCAUGGCUACUUCUUCUUCUUCUUGAACGAACCAGCAGCCCAACCACGCCUCUCAUCGCACAACCAUCACCCUCAACCACGCCAGUCGCCAACCCUCGUCACAGGUGCGUGUAUUGCUCCAAUUCCCCUGGGCAUGACAUAGAGAAGUGUUGGAAUCUGAAGAAUGCGAUUCAAAAGCUUAUUGAUGCAGGUGACCUUGUCGCGCCAAAUGAAGAUGCAGCAGGCACCAACCAAUGUCCAUCGCUUGUGAAUAAUAAGACGCACAUGAUGGGUGUGAUUUAUUUUGAAAAGGAAUAUGAGAAUUUUUCUGAGAGCCUCGGAGUUCCACAUGCUGCUAAGCUUUUAGCGGUAUUAGAGGUUGAUCCUGAAAACGGGUUGGCAAAAGGAACCCAAAAAAAAUUUGUUAAGAACAAUGUGAUGAAGACUUGUGAAGUUCCUAGUAUUGUUGAUGUCGAAUUUAGUGGCUAAGAUGUUGAGUUUGAGGAUUGGAAAGACGCUCUUUUCUUGGUUAGCCAGGGAGGAGUUUUGGUGGUUCACGUUGUUGUCAUUUCUCUUAUCCGAGUUAUUUCAGGGUUGUAAUCUGGAUAUUGGCUUGUGAUUCAAACCUUUCUAUCCUUUUAUUAUGUCUAAUUACUUUAUUCAUAGUAUCUCAUGGGACCAAAUUGGCACAUUUUAAAAUAAUUGUUCCAUUUGGGACCAAAGAUGAUCCCAAGUUCCUGAAGAUAUACUGUUUUUAUUUUUGAGUGAGAGACUCGACGUCGAAUCCCCGCAGCACCAAAUAGAUAUCUAAAACGGAGCAAGCUGAGAAAACUAGCGAUAUGAUUACCAGAUAAUCCGACUCGAGUUCGAGUCUCAGGCACCACGAGCCUCUUUGAAUAUGAAUCACUUAGUUCCAUAGAGAAAUACAGACCUUAAUUAACUACCUUAUUCACAGCAAAUAAGAACCCACCAAUUAAUCAAUAAAUUCGAAUUGAAAUACGCAUGCUAAAAUAUUAUCAGAAUUCCAACAACUGGACCUGAAUCAACCUAUCACUUAAUGUAACUUUCUAAUCACAGAACCAUAGAUUAAAACACAAAGCAGGCCUGCAUUCCUUUUAUUAACAUGUCUAAACAUGGAAUAACCAAAACCAAAAUGUACUGAACUUCAUGCAUUGAAUUCAAACACUGCAUACAAUAACAUACCAAAGAAGUAAUACGCAAUACAUGUACUAGAAAAAAACCCUGUAUUUAGCUAAUAGAAAUUACUAUAUUAGCCUUCGCUACAACUAAAAGAACUAGCUAAUCCAAAUAUAUCUCAUGAGUUCAAAAACAGUAUCUAGUUAAUUACAUAACAUGAUGAUCUAUAUAUCAACAAGGCUAAUGUACUAUAUCGAUUCGAAUGAACUCAACCCCCAUCAGCCAAAGCGUAGACAACAGAAUAUUUUGGAUUCAAAAAAUGAGAUAACACAGCCCGAAAAAAAACUUCAAACCAAUAGCUAACCCAACAAAUUUUGAGGAAUCAAAACCACUAAAAAUCAGUCCCAAUCAAUGGAACAGUAAACUUCAACAAAUCUCAGACCAAAACCCUUUCAAACUCAAGAUCAAACCAUCUCAAAUUCCCAAAAUGAACCAGAUUGUUUUAGAGUGAAGAACCUAAAAACUAGAAACAAAAUUCAAUAGAACAGUGAUUUCUUUUAAAGUUUUUCCUAGCCGCCUCUGACUUUCUGUGUUUUAGCUCUUAAAAUUCUCUCUUGAAAGGCAAGGAAAAGUGCCUUUAUAGGCAAGCCAAUAGGGAAAUCUUCAGAUUUUAGUUUUUACACUUUACCCCUUUUCGAAUUUUCAUUUUUGCUUAGCUAACCUCUAAUUAUUGACUUGCUACCCAAGUUUUAAUAACUAUACAUCUGAAAUUUCACUAACGCCCCUUACUAGAAGUUUCCAAAUUAGUUACUAAGAGAUUCCCUAUGUCCUAUUUCCAAAACGACCCCUUUAUGACCCUGUUAUUACCCCCUAAACUCAAUGGGUCCAACUGACCCAAGAAUUAAGCCAGCCUUGGGCUUAACAAGAACAACUCGGAUUCUUGCCCAUUUGGGCUUUCUAAUUUCCAGAAACCAAAUUCAGGCCAUAAACCAUAAUCAACAAUCCUAAUAGGUUGAACAAGAAAUCUCAGUAGAAAACCAGCUAUUCUUUAGCAAGAAACCAAAAUAAAAAAAAUAGGCGAGAAUUAAUCCCAUGAGACAAUUCAAACAAACUAAACAUUUAACAAAUUAAAGCAUGCAAACAGAUACAAAUAAAAUAAAAGAACAAAUAUGUGACAAAGAGGAGAAGAGGAGAUGGAGAAGAGAUUAAGACCUGAAUUUAAACUAAGACGAAGAACAAAGAGAAUGAUAACUGAGAACACCUAACGUGGAUGGCCAACCUUGAAGUCACUCUUCGACCUUUCGAUUAUGACCAAAAGGAGUCUUAAUCAUGUGUUCACAAGGGAAAACACAUGAACAAGAUCUAUCUUGGCCUCAAUCUUUAAUAACUCCGUCGAUUUUGGAAUCUGGAAAUAUUAGGUUUCAAGUUUAAGAUUUGAUGACUUCAAGCAAUAUUUGAGGGCAAUGGGUUAGCUAGAGGGUGCCGUGGUUGGUCUAGGGUAUCAAUCUGGGGUCGAUUGGGGAAAUUUGGGUUAGACCUCCCCUCUUCAAUUCACAAUUCGAGCAGUUUGGUUGGGAUUUGAGGGAAAAAGGGGUGUGGAUUUGGAAAUAGGAGGAAGAGAAGAAGCUAGGGUGUAAUUUUGGUGGAGAUUAGAGCAACGCCACCGGCGGAGAUGAUUUUUGGAAGGAGGUGUGCGGCGGAGAUGGUGGGGGUUCUCUGAGGAGUGGGGUGAAAGAGACAGGAUUGGGGCGGUAGGGUGUUGUUCGGACACUUAUAUAUUGAGAUGACACCACU
rnacentral:lncRNA from 1 species